rnacentral:lncRNA from 1 species
UGUAUAUUUUCUUGGUAAAGUAUCCACACUUUUCCAAAUUUAAAAUUUUUUUCCUCAUUGAGUUGUAAGAUUUCUUGAUAUGUUAAUACAUGUCCUUUGUUAAUAUAUAUUUUGGAACUAUUUUCUUUUUAGUCUUUAGCUUGCCUUUUCAUUUACUUAGAAGUUUUAAAAAUUGAUGAAGUGUAUUGGCAAUCAUGCUUGUAGAUUAAAAAAUUAAAUACUAAGAUAUCAUUUCUUCUCACACUGAUCUAUAGAUUCAAAGCAGUCCCAAUAAAAAUUCCAUAAGGCUUUUCUUAUAGAAAUGGACAGGUUCAUUUUUAAAUUAUAUAGGAAUGCAAUAUUUUAAAAUUAUAUAAAAAUGCAAUUAUAUGGGACCUAUGAUAGUCAAAACAACCUUGAAGUUGCAGAAAAAAUUCAAAUUACUCUUGCUACCUGAUUUUAAGACAUUUUAUUCAGCAAGACUUUUUAUUCAGCAAGACAUUUUUUUCAAUAAGAAUCCAGAUGUUAUGGUACUGACAUAAAGAUGGAAUAAUAGAUCAAUAGUAUCCAGAAAAUAAAAACCUGAACAUUUAUGGUUAAUGAUUUUUGACAAAAGUACCAAAAUAAUUAAAUGGGAAAAUGAUAAUCUUUUCAACAAACAGGAUUGAAUUGAUGGAACAGCCAUAAACAAAAUAUGAUCUGAAUUUUCACCUCACACCAUAUAGAAAAAAUUAACUUGAAGGACACAAGCAUCAUAAGGCAGUGUGAAUCCUUUUUCUCUCCCCUUGACUUACAACUAAUCAGACAUCCAUAAUUGGGGGUGGGGGGAGUGCCUCUGAUGAGAAGGGAGUGGCAUGAUAUAUUCAAAAUGCCGAGAGAAAUAUUCUUGCAACCGAGAAUACUCUAUCCAGCAAGGCCAUACAUCAUUCAGAAUGGAAGGAGAGCUAGAGUUUCUCAGACAAAUCAAAGAACUUCAUCACCAAUAAACCAGUCUUAUUGGGAACAUUAAAGGGAACUCUUUGAGUGGAAAGGAAAGACCAUAAGUAGAAGAAAAGAAGGAAGCACUAAAGCAGUAAAAUUAAGUAUAUCUAUAAAAAUUAGUAUAAGGAUUCACGAAAUAAAAGGACGUGAAGUGGGAGGGAAGAGGAGUAAAAAAUGGCUUCAAACUUAAGUGACCAUCAACUUAAUACAGACGGCUAUGUGCAUAAGAUGUCAUAUAUAAAUCAAAUGGUAACCACAAAUCAAAAAACAGGGACCUGCAAAACAGAGAAAGGAAUCCAAAAAUAUCACUAAAGAAAGCUAGCAAACUAUGAAAGAGCAAGAGGAGAAACCGAGAACUAUAAAAACCACCACAAAAUAACAAAAUGACAAUAAGCACAUACCUAUAAUAAUUAACAUUAAAUGUAAAUGGAUUAAAAACUCCAAAGACAUAGGGUGAUAAAAUGGUAAGAAAGCAAAUUCCAUCCAUACACUGCAUACAAAAGACUCCUUUCAGAACUAAAAACACCUGCAGAUUAGAUGUGGAGGAAUAGAAAAGCAUUCAUCAUGUAAAUGAAUGUGAAAAGAAAGUGAAGGUGGCAACAUAUUGGACAAAAUAGACUUAAAACUUUAAAACAAAGACUAUAAAAAAUAAUAAAAAAAAUAAAACAAAGACUGUAACGAGAUGGGCACUAUAUAAUCAUAAAGGGAACAAUCCAAUAAGAAGAUAUGACACUUGUAAAUAUUUAUGCACCCAACAUGGAAGCACCCAAAUACAUAAAGCAGCUAAUAACAAACAUAAAGGAACUAAUCAAUAGCAAUACAAUAAUAGUAGGGGACGUUUAUACCUCACAUCAAUGGAUAGAUCAUUCAAACAAAAUCAACAAGGAAACAGUGGCUUUGAGUGAUACAUUGAAACAGAUUAAUCUAACAGAUACCGCUAGAACAUUCCAUCAUAAAACAGCAGAAUACGUAUUUUGUUGACGGGCAUAUGGAACAUUCUCCAGAAUAAACCAUAUACUAGAUUAAAAAACAAGUCUCAACAAAUUAAAAGAGAUGGAAGUCAUACCAUGCAUCUUCUCUAACCACAACACUAUGGAAGCAGAAAUCAACCACAAGAAAAAGUCUGGAAAGAACACAAACACAUGGAGGUUAAAUAACAUGCUAUGAACAGUGAAUAAGUCAACCAAGCAAGUAAAGCGGAGAUUAAAAAAAAUACACAGAGACAAAUGAAAAUGAAAACACAACAGUCCAAAAUCUUUGAGAUGCAACCAAAGAGGGAAGUUGCAGGAAUAUAGGCCUACCUCAAAAAAGGAAAUAAAAUCUCAACCAGCCUCACAUCUAAAGAAGCUAGAAAAAAGGACAAACAAAACCAGCAGAAGAAAGGAAAUAAUAAAAAUUAGAGCAGAAAUAAGUGAAAUAGAAACUAAAAAGAAAAAAAGAUCAAUGAAAACAGGAGCUAGUUCUUUGAAAAUAUCAACAAAUUGAUAAACUGUUAGCCAGACUCAUAAAAAAGAAAAAGACACAAAAUCAGAAAUG